rnacentral:rRNA from 1 species
GAUGAACGCUGGCGGCGUGCCUAAUACAUGCAAGUCGAGCGAACGGACGAGAAGCUUGCUUUUCUGAUGUUAGCGGCGGACGGGUGAGUAACACGUGGAUAACCUACCUAUAAGACUGGGAUAACUUCGGGAAACCGGAGCUAAUACCGGAUAAUAUUUUGAACCGCAUGGUUCAAAAGUGAAAGACGGUCUUGCUGUCACUUAUAGAUGGAUCCGCGCUGCAUUAGCUAGUUGGUAAGGUAACGGCUUACCAAGGCAACGAUGCAUAGCCGACCUGAGAGGGGGAUCGGCCAAACUGGAACUGAGACACGGUCCAGACUCCUACGGGAGGCAGCAGUAGGGAAUCUUCCGCAAUGGGCGAAAGCCUGACGGAGCAACGCCGCGUGAGUGAUGAAGGUCUUCGGAUCGUAAAACUCUGUUAUUAGGGAAGAACAUAUGUGUAAGUAACUGUGCACAUCUUGACGGUACCUAAUCAGAAAGCCACGGCUAACUACGUG